UCUCCGUUGGUGAACCAGCGGAGGGAUCAUUACCGAGUUUACAACUCCCAAACCCAAUGUGAACCAUACCAAACUGUUGCCUCGGUGGGGUCACGCCCCGGGUGCGUCGCAGCCCCGGAACCAGGCGCCCGCCGGAGGGACCAACCAAACUCUUUCUGUAGUCCCCUCGCGGACGUUAUUUCUUACAGCUCUGAGCAAAAAUUCAAAAUGAAUCAAAACUUUCAACAACGGAUCUCUUGGUUCUG
rnacentral:misc_RNA from 1 species